rnacentral:rRNA from 1 species
AGCGAACGCUGGCGGCAGGCCUAACACAUGCAAGUCGAACGAACUCUUCGGAGUUAGUGGCGGACGGGUGAGUAACACGUGGGAACGUGCCUUUAGGUUCGGAAUAACUCAGGGAAACUUGUGCUAAUACCGAAUGUGCCCUUCGGGGGAAAGAUUUAUCGCCUUUAGAGCGGCCCGCGUCUGAUUAGCUAGUUGGUGAGGUAACGGCUCACCAAGGCGGCGAUCAGUAGCUGGUCUGAGAGGAUGACCAGCCACACUGGGACUGAGACACGGCCCAGACUCCUACGGGAGGCAGCAGUGGGGAAUCUUGCGCAAUGGGCGAAAGCCUGACGCAGCCAUGCCGCGUGAAUGAUGAAGGUCUUAGGAUUGUAAAAUUCUUUCACCGGGGACGAUAAUGACGGUACCCGGAGAAGAAGCCCCGGCUAACUUCGUGCCAGCCGCCGCCGUAAGAC